rnacentral:rRNA from 1 species
AUUGAACGCUAGCGGGAUGCCUUACACAUGCAAGUCGAACGGAGUGGCGAACGGGUGAGUAAUGUAUCGGCACGUGCCCAGUAGCGGGGGAUAACUACGCGAAAGCGUAGCUAAUACUGCAUACUCUUGGAGCUGCCGCUACCGGAUUAGCUGGUUGGUGGGGUAACGGCUAACCCAGGCGACGAUCCGUAGCGGGUUUGAGAGGAGGACCAGCCACACUGGGACUGAGACACGGCCCAGACUCCGACGGGAGGCAGCAGUGGGGAAUUUUGGACAAUGGGUGAAACCCUGAUCCAGCCAUCCCGCGUGUGCGAUGAAGGCCCUCGGGUUGUAAAGUACUUUUGGUAGGGAAGCGGUACCUGCAGAAGAAGCACCGGCUAACUACGUGCCAGCAGCCGCGGUAAUUC